rnacentral:pre_miRNA from 1 species
GCAUGAGUGUGAGUGACAGCUUCGGAAGAUGGGUGAAUUUCUAGUGUCAAGUUACGGAACCUUGACUAGAUUUUCACUUAUCCUUUGCGGCUGUCUUUACCUGCUUUUUUGU